rnacentral:rRNA from 1 species
CAAUAGCGUAUAUUUAAGUUGUUGCAGUUAAAAAGCUCGUAGUUGGAUUUCGGUUAAGAGCGACCGGUCCGCCGUUUGGUGUGCACUGGUUGGUUUUAACUUCCUGUAGAGGACGUGCUCUGGGUUUAACGACCUGGACUCGGAGUCUACGUGGUUACUUUGAAAAAAUUAGAGUGUUCAAAGCGGGCUUACGCUUGAAUAUUUCAGCAUGGAAUAACACUAUAGGACUCCUGUCCUAUUUCGUUGGUCUCGGGACGGGAGUAAUGAUUAAGAGGAACAGUUGGGGGCAUUCGUAUUUCAUUGUCAGAGGUGAAAUUCUUGGGUUUAUGAAAGACGAACUUCUGCGAAAGCAUUUGCCAAGGAUGUUUNCAUUA